GUUUCAAAGAUUAAGCCAUGCAAGUCUAAGUAUAAACGAAUAUACAGUGAAACUGCGGAAGGCUCAAUAAAUCAGUUAUAAAACACAUGACGAGUAAUAUCACAAGGAUAACCGUGGUAAUUCUAGAGCUAAUACAGGCAAUAGUUCCACUUUUUCGGAAGUGGAAGCAGUUAUUAGAUACAAAACCAACCCUUUUUCGCAAGAGAUAGGUUCCGGUGAAUCAUGAUAACAGAGAGUGUCGUCCUUUGGGAUGAAGCGUCAUAGGUAUUUCUGCCCUAUCAACUAGAUGGUAGGAUAGGGGCCUACCAUGGUGAUAACGGGUAACGGGGAAUUAGGGUUCGAUUCCGGAGAGGGAGCAUGAGAAACGGCUACCACAUCCACGGAAGGCAGCAGGCGCGUAAAUUACCCAAUCCCGACAUGGGGAGGUAGUGACAAAAAAUAGCGAUGCGGGGCCCAACGGGCUUCAGCAAUUGGAAUGAGUUGGAGAUAAAGAGUCCAACGAGAAACAAUAGGAGGGCAAGUCUGGUGCCAGCAGCCGCGGUAAUUCCAGCUCCUAAAGCGUAUAUUAAAGUUGCUGCGGUUAAAAAGCUCGUAGUCGAAUAAUAGGGUAAAUGUCCAACGAGUUUUUAGUGAGUGCCAUUAGUGCAAUUGCUUCAACGAGUUAGGCAAAACCUAAACGUUUGCGUGAAAUGCUUGCCUUCGGGUGACCGUUUUUAGCGUAAACAUCGUACUUUGAAUAAAAUAGAGUGCUCAAAGCAGGCAAUCGCUAUCUCUCAGGAGUUAGUUCACGCCCGAAUAAUAAAGCAUAGUAUACAAAUUAGUCUUGGAACAGGCCGGUUGGAGCGGUUCCUCGACAAGCACAAAAGGGACGGUUGGGGGCAUUAGUAUUAGGUCGCUAGAGGUGAAAUUCAAGGAUUGACCUAGGACUAACGAAAGCGAAAGCAAUCGCCAAAGACGUUCCCAUUGAUAAAGGGCGAAGGCCGAAGGAUCAAAAAUGAUUAGAUACCAUUGUAGUUUCGGCCGUAAACGAUGCCAACAAGGGAUUGGAAGUGCUAUAAUCGUGGCGCAUUCAGCACCUUAAGAGAAAUCAAGAGUGUAUAGGUUCCGGGGGGAGUAUGGUCGCAAGUCUGAAACUUAAAGGAAUUGACGGAAGGGCACCACCAGGAGUGGAGGCUGCGGCUUAAUUUGACUCAACACGGGGAAACUCACCAGGUCAGGACAUGCAAAGGAUUGACGUCUUGCAGAGGCUUCGAGAUAGUAAGGGAGGUGGUGCAUGGCCGUUCUUAGUUCGUGGAAUGAUUUGUCAGCUUAAUUGCGAUAACGAACGAGACCUUAGCGGAUAGUUGGAGUUAAGCGAUAGCACGAUUCUUCGGAGUCAGGAGGGGCGUUGUUUUCGGAUAAUGCUCACUCUACGCAUCGUUGAAGCUCACCCUAAACGGACAACUGGUAUAUUAGCCAGAGGAAGUAUUAGGCAAUAACAGGUCAGUGAUGCCCUUAGAUGUCCUGGGCAGCACGCGCGCUACAAUGGUGAACUCAACGAGUGAGUUAUGUGUUUCGAACAAUAGUUCAAACCCAAUAACAGCCGACAAUGAGAGUUGUUGGAAAUCAUCAAAGUUCAUCGUGGUCGGGAUAGACCCUUUAAAGUGGGUCUUGAACAAGGAAUUCCUAGUAAUAGUGGGUCAGCAACCCGCAGUGAAUACGUCCCUGCCCUUUGUACACACCGCCCGUCACUACUACCGAUUGGAGAGUUUAGUGAGAUAUUUGGAG
rnacentral:rRNA from 1 species